rnacentral:antisense_RNA from 1 species
UAAUUUAUAAAGGAAAAGAGGUUUAAUGGACUCACAGUUCCACAUGACUGGGGAGGGCUCACAAUAAUGGUGGAAGGUGAAAGGCACGUCUUACCUGGUGGCAGACAAGAGAGAAAAGAGAACCAUGCAAAAGCAGUUUCCCCUUAUAAAACCAUCAAAUCUUGUGAGACUUAUUCACUACCACAAGAACAGUAUGAUUCAAUCAUCUCCCACUGGGGAUUAUUCGGCUACUACUUCAGUGUGAAACAGACACCUUGUUGUCCUCAAAUAUUUCUAUUGCAUUCUACUUGGGGUAGCAAGGAAGUGGGUAUUGAGAAGUAAUGAUUAUCAGUGCCAUAUAGAAUGACAUUUAGGAAGGGGAAAAACUGUCAAAACACCAUUUCUCUGCAGAGUUCAAGACUUCAAUCCCCUUGACAACCAAUUCCUAAACAACAUCAGGGAGUUCCAUUUGGGCUAGAGUCUGUGCAGGUUACUGCGGUUUGAUCACUCUAUAAGGUGGGAAACUCUCCAGCACCAGUCCUCCAGUAUGGUAAGGCAGGACAGCAGCCCAUGGAAGCCAGUACAUCAGCCCACUUCUGUUUUAAUAUUGCUGAGUUGCCUUUAUUUGAAAAAAAUAAAAAUGAAGAGAACAGAGGUGGCAGGAAAUUUUUGAAUCAGGUCUCAUCUGCAUAGGUCUAGCCAGGUAGGGCCAAUUAUUUGUCCUCCAGGAAUUCUGAAUGACUGACUUACGCCUGAGACUAUGAGUUCUUGCAGGGCAGGAAUUGUAUCUUUUCCUCUUGCUCCAGUGACCAGGGUGGACAUAAAAUAAAGCAUAAAGCCUUCUUUUGCAUCUGUGUGGAAGGCAAAUAUACUCUGUCCAUAACCACAAAGAAGGGAGGAAAUGGAAUGAUUGGAAUGACAACAGCAAACCACUUUGCUCUAAAACCUUUGAGCAGUUUUAAAAUCUGGAUAUUUGCUUCAGUUUGACUCUCAACUUCAUUUUGAGGCCAUAGAUAGAAUCAAAUAGGCUCUCGAAGACAGAAGUUUCCAAAUAAAAUACUAUAUUCUUUUAGGGGUGUAGAUUCCAGGCUUUGUGGCAACACCACAUUCAUGACCUCCAGAGACUAUAGCGUGGAACACACCUUUACAGAUCAAGGGGCCCCCUGAGUCACCCUGGAAGGAAGAAAAAGGGCAAAUACGUGACAGGGUCUCAUUUUGUUACCCAGACUGGAAUGCAGUGGCAAGAUCUUGGCUCACUUCAGCCUCAACCUCCUGGGCUCAGAAACGGGUUUUCACCAUAUCGCCCAGGCUGGUCUCGAACUCCUGAGUUCAACAGAUCCAUCCACCUUGGCCUCCCAAAGUGCUGGGAUUACAGGAGCCUUGAGCAUUUGAGAUGGAGUGAGGCCAUGUGGAAGGGGCUGUGGAAGGUUCCAUCUAACAACUUGCUAGGCAGGUUGGGGCAGGAGGAAGUGCUCUGUGAGGGGGGCCUGGGAGAGAAUCAGGAGAACAGGGUACAACAGCUGGUGAGAGUUUUGCUUCUGAUAUAGACAAUGCCUGCAGAGCAAACCAUUACAGCUAAGAGAGAUCUUUAAGUGAAAGAAAAGGAGAAGGCUCCAUCUCAGCUUAU